CUCGGAAGCUAAGCAGGGUCGGUCCUGGUUAGUACUUGGAUGGGAGACAGCCUGGGAAUACCAGGUGCUUUAACGU
rnacentral:rRNA from 1 species